CAUAAUCACCGAGUCUAUUAUCUCCCCAUACUUCUCAAAGUACUUCACAAAUUGUUCUACCAAAAUCAAAAUCCAGUUUUAACGCCACCCUAGUCAGUAAAUCAAAAAUCUACUAGCAAGAAACAAUUAGUAAUACAUAAAAACAAGUACGCAACAGUUUAAAACACUAACCUAACGUUGUCUCUUUAUUUUUAACGCCACCCUAGUGAGUAAAUAAAAAAUCUACUAGCAAGAAACAAUUAGUAAUACAUAAAAACAAGUAUGAAACAGUUUAAACACUAACCUAAGGUUGUCUCUUUCGCUAGACCUCCAAUAAAGAUUUUUCUGUUCAAU
rnacentral:lncRNA from 1 species